rnacentral:rRNA from 1 species
UACGUAGGGUCCGAGCGUUGUCCGGAAUUACUGGGCGUAAAGCGCACGUAGGCGGAUCUUUAAGUCAGGGGUGAAAUCCCGAGGCUCAACCUCGGAACUGCCUUUGAUACUGGGGAUCUCGAGUCCGGGAGAGGUGAGUGGAACUGCGAGUGUAGAGGUGAAAUUCGUAGAUAUUCGCAAGAACACCAGUGGCGAAGGCGGCUCACUGGCCCGGUACUGACGCUGAGGUGCGAAAGCGUGGGGAGCAAACAGG